UCCGCCCGGCCCCGCUAGAGGGCUCCCGGGCAGCGCCCGCGGGACCCGGUACGGACCCGGUACGGACCCGGUACGGACCCACCGGGACCCCGGUACCGACCCUGCUCUGCGCUGCCGACCCGCUGAGACCCCGUAACAGAAACAACAACAGACUGAACUUCCCUGAAAGCCAGGGUGCUGCAGAGCUGUAGGUACCUUCAGUGGCAAGGUGAAGCCCAGCAGAAGGAUGUUCAUUCUCAACCUACACCAAAUACUGCGACAGGAUUCUGUUCCAGAGCAGCCUUGGAGCAGCUUAAAGGUGCCUUCCUGCUGUACCACACCUUGUCCCAGAUGGAGCACAGUGCCUUGGGAGACAGGUAAAGAGGGUGGUUGUCAUUCAGCAUGUCUGGYGGCCUCUUCCUGGCAUACUCCUUGUAACUGGCAACUGGACAGUUCUCUGGAUCCUCAGGCUUGGCUAAGAGYCGUGGGCUCAGCUCCCCUUCGUUUCCCUCCGGGCUCAGAUUGUCCUUCCACUCCAARUACUCCACCUCUCCGUUGGUCUUCCUCAGCACCAGCUGUCCCCAGUACAGCUGGGGGUUCUGCAUGUGGGUGCUUGCCCCAAACCCCCUAAUGAGGUACCGAUGCUUUGAUUUCCAGACUUCCUGAGAGGCUCUGAACUCUGGCCCUUUCAACAUGCUGUACUGGUAGCUGUGCUUCUUGAGAUAUAGGUCGAUGUUGCGCCGGGAGAAGUAUAAAGAAUUGGAAGAAAAAUCAUUGCCAUUCUGUUUCUUGGCAGAGCUGAAGAAUGAGACCAGGGCUGGGAUCUGGUCGCAGAUGGUACCGUGAGUGUGUGCCCAGAUGACAAGRUUGGCGAGAUCCUCCUGAAGGGAGCCAGCACUGCUGGACCCUGCAUCACUGAUGCUCUCGUUCUGUGAAGGUGUUGGGAGAGAAUCUUCCAGCAMAGUCUCUGGUGCUCAGCUACAGAUGCUUCAGUCUGCUGUGGCCUUCAAACUUCCAGCAACUGAGAUUUCCCCAAAGGAAUGGCAAGUGGAAUCAGUCUGACUGAUUCACAGUCACAGCUGAGUGCGAAAAAUGACCACUGUCCUUCUCCCAAAGGCUGAWAUGGUGUAUGUUUAUUCCCUUUAAACAAUAAAAAAAUCCAUCUUGAUCACUGCCACAGUUUUUACCUGCUUCCAACAACCCUGGGAUUGCUGUGGGGAGAGGUCUCAGUUUGGAUUUGGGGCUGAGGUUUGUUUUGGAGCCUCGUGCCUGAUUCAGUGUCUGUGUGSCUG